rnacentral:rRNA from 1 species
CACGGACCGCACGAACGUUAUUCGGUAUCACUGGGCUUAAAGGGUGCGUAGGCGGCCUUGCAAGUUGGGUGUGAAAGCCCUCGGCUCAACCGAGGAAUUGCGCUCAAUACUGUUGGGCUCGAGAGAGACAGAGGUAAGCGGAACUAAUGGUGGAGCGGUGAAAUGCGUUGAUAUCAUUAGGAACACCGGUGGCGAAGGCGGGUCUCUGGGCAAUUCCUGACGCUGGGGCGCGAAAGCGUGGGGAGCAAACGGG